GUUUCCCUGUUGCCCUGUGCCAGCACUGGGGUAGUGCCCCUGGGCUCCACCCCCAAAACCUUCCCAGGGCUCUGUCCCGGCAGUUCAGAGGGGCCAGGAUGGUGGACAUAAUCGCCAAAGUGACCAGGAGGCAGAGUCGAGCCUUGCCGGCACAGGUGGACGACCCACCGGAGCCCGUGUACGCGAACAUAGAGAGGCAGCCCCGGGCCACUUCACCGGGCGCCGCUGCAGCCCCUCUUCCCAGCCCGGUGUGGGAGACGCACACGGACGCGGGCACCGGGCGCCCCUACUACUACAACCCAGACACGGGAGUUACCACCUGGGAGUCGCCCUUUGAGGCUGCCGAGGGUGCCGCCAGCCCAGCCACCUCCCCUGCCUCGGUGGACAGCCACGUGAGCCUUGAGACCGAGUGGGGCCAGUACUGGGAUGAGGAGAGCCGCAGGGUGUUCUUCUACAACCCGCUGACGGGCGAGACGGCCUGGGAGGACGAGGCCGAGAACGAGCCCGAGGAGGAGUUGGAGAUGCAGCCGGGCCUGAGCCCUGGCAGCCCAGGGGACCCGCGGCCCCCCACUCCCGAGACGGACUACCCCGAGUCGCUGACCAGUUACCCCGAGGAGGACUAUUCUCCCGUGGGCUCUUUCGGUGAGCCCGGCCCUACCUCUCCCUUGACCACACCCCCCGGCUGGUCUUGUCAUGUCAGCCAGGACAAGCAGAUGCUCUACACCAACCACUUCACCCAGGAGCAGUGGGUGAGGCUGGAGGACCCCCACGGGAAGCCAUACUUCUACAAUCCAGAGGACUCCUCUGUUCGAUGGGAGCUGCCCCAGGUAACAACCUGGGGAAAGAGGGGUGUUGGGGAGAGAGGAAGAGAUCACAUACGACUGUGUCUUUCUCCCCAGGUCCCUAUCCCUGCCCCUCGGAGCAUCCAUAAAUCCAGCCAGGAUGGUGACACCCCAGCCCAGGCCAGCCCUCCAGAGGAGAAGACCAAGACCUUGGACAAGGCAGGGGUGCUCCAUCGCACCAAGACGGCAGACAAGGGAAAGCGGCUCCGGAAGAAGCACUGGAGUGCCUCCUGGACUGUGCUGGAGGGUGGCGUCCUGACAUUCUUCAAGGACUCAAAGACCUCGGCUGCAGGCGGCCUGAGGCAGCCUUCCAAGUUUUCCACCCCUGAGUACACAGUGGAGCUGAGGGGGGCCACUCUCUCCUGGGCCCCCAAAGACAAAUCCAGUAGGAAGAAUGUGCUGGAGCUACGGAGCCGAGAUGGCUCCGAGUACCUGAUCCAGCACGACUCGGAGGCCAUCAUCAGCACCUGGCAUAAGGCCAUUGCUCAGGGCAUCCAGGAGCUGGUAAGCAGAGCCCAGGGCCUCUAGGGGCAGUGGGGAGGGGGUGGCCAUUAUGAGUGGGGCCCUCUGCUCAGGCUCAGGGAGCUCUAAGGUACCAGUGGGUAAUGCAAAUGCAGUCCCCACUAAUGGCUAGGAUGGCAGGGUAGGCGGCUGAAGAAACUGCCUUCUGUAAGUCUGUGAAUCCAGCCCUGGGGUUGGCCCUGCAGGAAGACUCUCCAGGUGAGGGUAGGGCACAUUCUAAAGGAAGUUCCCAUUUCACGGGAGGCAGAAGGCCAAAUAAAUACUCUGCAAGCCAACCAAUGGCAGGCUGAAACUAGCAGAUAAAAUUUUAAAGGAUUGAUUUCAAUAGUCGACUAUUUUUUUAAGGCUCAAAACACCAAUUGCAUAAGUAGAGCUAGGACAGGGGCCCUCUGACAACUACUGACCUGGAAAUGACCU
rnacentral:sRNA from 1 species